rnacentral:rRNA from 1 species
CGCGGCCUAUCAGCUUGUUGGUGGGGUAACGGCUCACCAAGGCAUCGACGGGUAGCUGGUCUGAGAGGACGAUCAGCCACACUGGGACUGAGACACGGCCCAGACUCCUACGGGAGGCAGCAGUGGGGAAUAUUGCACAAUGGGCGCAAGCCUGAUGCAGCAACGCCGCGUGAGGGAUGACGGCCUUCGGGUUGUAAACCUCUUUUAGCAGGGAAGAAGCGAAAGUGACGGUACCUGCAGAAAAAGCACCGGCUAACUACGUGCCAGCAGCCGCGGUAAUACGUAGGGUGCAAGCGUUGUCCGGAAUUAUUGGGCGUAAAGAGCUCGUAGGCGGUUCAGUAAGUCGGGUGUGAAAACUCAAGGCUCAACCUUGAGACGCCACUCGAUACUGCUGUGACUUGAGUCCGGUAGAGGAGUGUGGAAUUCCUGGUGUAGCGGUGAAAUGCGCAGAUAUCAGGAGGAACACCAGCGGCGAAGGCGGCACUCUGGGCCGGUACUGACGCUGAGGAGCGAAAGCAUGGGGAGCAAACAGGAUUAGAUACCCUGGUAGUCCAUGCCGUAAACGUUGGGCACUAGGUAUGGGAUCAUACCAACGGAUUCCGUGCCGUAGCUAACGCAUUAAGUGCCCCGCCUGGGGAGUACGG